rnacentral:rRNA from 1 species
AGAGUUUGAUCCUGGCUCAGAACGAACGCUGGCGGCAUGCCUAACACAUGCAAGUCGAACGCCCUCUUCGGAGGGAGUGGCGCACGGGUGCGUAACGCGUGGGAACCUGCCCUUAGGUUCGGAAUAACUCAGAGAAAUUUGAGCUAAUACCGGAUAAUGUCUUCGGACCAAAGAUUUAUCGCCUUUGGAUGGGCCCGCGUUGGAUUAGCUAGUUGGUGGGGUAAAGGCCUACCAAGGCGACGAUCCAUAGCUGGUCUGAGAGGAUGAUCAGCCACACUGGGACUGAGACACGGCCCAGACUCCUACGGGAGGCAGCAGUGAGGAAUAUUGGUCAAUGGACGAAAGUCUGAACCAGCCAUGCCGCGUGCAGGAUGAAUGCCCUAUGGGUUGUAAACUGCUUUUAUAUAGGAAUAAACCCCUUUAC